AACGCGAAGAACCUUACCAACCCUUGACAUCGCAGGACCGCCCCGGAGACGGGGUUUUCUCGUAAGAGACCUGUGGACAGGUGCUGCAUGGCUGUCGUCAGCUCGUGUCGUGAGAUGUUCGGUUAAGUCCGGCAACGAGCGCAACCCACACCCUUAGUUGCCAGCAUUCAGUUGAGCACUCUAAGGGAACUGCCCGUGAUAAGCGGGAGGAAGGUGUGGAUGACGUCAAGUCCUCAUGGCCCUUACGGGUUGGGCUACACACGUGCUACAAUGGUGGUGACAAUGGGUUAAUCCCCAAAAGCCAUCUCAGUUCGGAUUGGGGUCUGCAACUCGACCCCAUGAAGUCGGAAUCGCUAGUAAUGGCGCAUCAGCUACGGCGCCGUGAAUACGUUCCCGGGUCUUGUACACACCG
rnacentral:rRNA from 1 species